rnacentral:rRNA from 1 species
UACGGGGGGAGCAAGCGUUGUUCGGAUUUACUGGGCGUAAAGGGCGCGUAGGCGGCGUGACAAGUCACUUGUGAAAUCUCCGGGCUUAACUCGGAACGGUCAAGUGAUACUGUCGAGCUAGAGUACAGAAGGGGCAACUGGAAUUCUCGGUGUAGCGGUGAAAUGCGUAGAUAUCGAGAGGAACACCUGCGGCGAAGGCGGGUUGCUGGGCUGAUACUGACGCUGAGGCGCGAAAGCCAGGGGAGCGAACGGG